rnacentral:rRNA from 1 species
AACGAACGCUGGCGGCAUGCCUAACACAUGCAAGUCGAACGAAGUCUUCGGACUUAGUGGCGCACGGGUGCGUAACGCGUGGGAAUCUGCCCUUGGGUGCGGAAUAACUUCUCGAAAGGGAUGCUAAAUACCGCAUAAUGUCGUAAGACCAAAGAUUUAUCGCCCAAGGAUGAGCCCGCGUAAGAUUAGCUAGUUGGUGGGGUAAAAGCCUACCAAGGCGACGAUCUUUAGCUGGUCUGAGAGGAUGAUCAGCCACACUGGGACUGAGACACGGCCCAGACUCCUACGGGAGGCAGCAGUGGGGAAUAUUGGACAAUGGGCGAAAGCCUGAUCCAGCAAUGCCGCGUGAGUGAUGAAGGCCCUAGGGUUGUAAAGCUCUUUACCAGGGAUGAUAAUGACAGUACCUGGAGAAUAAGCUCCGGCUAACUCCGUGCCAGCAGCCGCGGUAAU